UACGAAGGGGGCUAGCGUUGUUCGGAAUUACUGGGCGUAAAGGGCGCAUAGGCUGUGCUGUAAGUCAGGCGUGAAAUCUCUGGGCUUAACCCAGAGGCUGCUUCCAAAACUGCCGUGCUAGAGUGCGAGAGAGGCCAGUGGAAUUGCAGGUGUAGCGGUGAAAUGCGUAGAUAUCUGCAGGAACACCCGUGGCGAAGGCGGCUGGCUGGAUCGCAACUGACGCUGAGGAACGAAAGCUAGGGGAGCAAACAGG
rnacentral:rRNA from 1 species